rnacentral:rRNA from 1 species
AUUCUGGUUGAUCCUGCCAGUAGUUAUAUGCUUGUCUCAAAGAUUAAGCCAUGCAUGUCUAAGUACACACGAAUUAAAAGUGAAACCGCAAAAGGCUCAUUAUAUCAGUUAUGGUUCCUUAGAUCGUUAACAGUUACUUGGAUAACUGUGGUAAUUCUAGAGCUAAUACAUGCAAUUAAAACAUGAACCUUAUGGGACGUGUGCUUUUAUUAGGCUAAAACCAAGCGAUCGCAAGAUCGUUAUAUUGGUUGAACUCUAGAUAACAUGCAGAUCGUAUGGUCUUGUACCGACGACAGAUCU